ensembl:lncRNA
CUGAAGCAUACUAUUUCCACUUGUUUAUAACUCCUUUCUUUCUGAACCAAUUUUUUUUCCAGCUUAUCCAAGCCCACAUUUCUCACUGGAGACUCCAUGCCAAGUUUGAACUGUUUUCAGUUACCCAAGCACAAGUAAAAGAUCUGAAACAAUUCUUUAAGCAUGCUCAAAACCAACCAUAUGGAUUUUUACCAAACUUUCCAAAAGCUACAGAAGUAUCAGCCUAAAGGAUCUUUUUUUUUCUUUUUUUGGAAACUCAUAAAGGCUUAGAAAGGGAGUACUUCUUUAACUAGUAAGGAAUGCUCAAUGACCAAAGCAUUAUAGUGAAGAAUGUCUGAAAAUCAAUUUCUGGGUCAACCACAUAGUUAAUGGACAAUGAUAACAAACAAGUUGAAAUUGAAGCUUUGGGGAAAAUGCCCCUUCCUUCAUCACACGCACGUGUGCGCACAUGCACAGAGUCUGAAGCACGACAGACACGGUACAGAAGAAAUACAACACUCUGUCAUGGAUAUCUUACACAACUCCAGUCCUGCAGAUGUAGUUUGGAAUUCUGAAGCAUUAUUCAAGUGAGUCCCUUCAUAGGUUGUCCUCCAAAAGAACCUGCGUGUAGAUCCUGACAGGAGCAACAGAGAAACCUGUGGGGUCAUCGUUCAAGAUGCUAGUCUGUGUUGUCUGGAAGUCAAUGUACAGGGGUGACUAGUGAAUGAACAAGGAAAUCUGCCAAAAAUAGCUGUGGUGACGUGGAUGGAACUGAUUUCUUCAGGUCUGUCCCUGCCUCAGAGUCUGCUUUGGCUGUAAAUUGUUUUUUCUCUCAGUUACCUCUACUUCAGAACUGCUAAUGAAACCCCUGUGUGAGCCACACAACAGGUCGCCAGCUAUCUGACAUAAAUAAAUAGCCUAAAAAUUAAGAAGCCCACUAUUUUACAAAAAACACACAUUUUUCAUUAUAAAAUUUGCAUCGGAAUAUUUUCAGUUUUUUAGAAAAGUUUUUUUUUUUUUUUCUCCCCUCAAUUUUAAAUAAUUCUCUAGGAUGUUACUUAUUUUCUAGAUUACACUCUUGGCUGAAACUAACAGCUGUGUGGGAGGUAGAGGUCUGAAGGAGGGUGUCUUUGGGAAAUGGUUGGAUUGCUUGAGAGAUCAAAGGAAGAGAAUUAAAAAUAUGUGGAUGCUUAUCAAAACAGCGCUUCCGGACUGUCAAAGAAUCUAACUGUGGACCAAAGGAAAGCAUGUGAACAUGGCUUAUCUUCACCAUCUUGGCAUGGCAGGUUAAUGGUGCUGGCAGAGCACGUACUAAGAAAUCUUACAGUCUUGAAUCAUCUCAUGGUGAUGAUGCCACUAAACUGUGUCCCCUGACUCACUCUUUUUAUUGUUAUUACAUCCUGUACAUGCUGAGGGGUAACUUCUAUUAGUGCUUUUCUACCUCUAGUACCCUGUGACCAGCAAAUGAGAUCACCCAGCUUCCUCCCUUCACUCAGCCUCGUUCUACUUUCUCCCUCCUCAGCUCUCCUUCUUCUAUGAUGUCCCUCAUGGAUUAGAACAAGGCUUGGGCUAAAAGCUUAAGGAACAUUAGUUUAGAAUGUUUUGGUGGGUAAUAGGGAAGUGUGUUCAACCCUGAGGAUGGUGACUGUCUUCUGCAAGUCAUGGGGUGCCCUGAUUGCUGGUGAAGUGCAUGGUUUGAGGAUCCUACCCAUCCGUCUCUUCUCACCAAUCUGACAGGUGAUGGCUGAUGGCAAAAACAGCUUUACAAGGACCCAGUGGAACUGUAGGGGUGUGCUACCAGUAAAUAGGAACAUGGUUCAGUGGGUAAUGGUGGUAGUAGGUUGGACUAGACGGUUUUUGAGGUCUUUUCCAAUCUUAACAAUUCUGGGAUUCUGUGAUUCUGUUUCUGUGAGUAUUAUUUUAUAUUUUUUUUAAGAUUCCCUGAUAAACCAACUGUUUCUCUGUGGCAUUCCUGUCUUUUGUAAUGAUGAAAUGUAAUGCAGUAAGGCUUAAGGAUCAUUUAAAAACUGUCACUUCUUAUACUUUGUUGCAUACAGAAGUGUUACAUCAUAUUUACAAUGUUAAAUCAGAAGCUGAAAUUUUUGUGGAAGAAAUACCUAUUUGGAUCCAGCAAGUAAUGACACCUAUCCCAUUUCAUUAUCAUUUUAUUUGCACUCAUUAAUUUUAGCAGGAUAUUUAUAAUCAGAAAUAAACAUUUGCAGUGGAAAUGCCUUUUCCUCAAUAUUUCCAGACAUUGAGUGUCUUUAGCCAGACAAAGGGUUUUUAUUUUUAAGGAAUGAUAUUUCAGAGCUUGAAAUGCCAACUCCCUGGUGCUGAGAUGGAGUUGCUGGAAGUCUCUUCCAGAUGUGAAGCUUUAAGGAAUUAAGUUAUAUUGGGGAAAUGGAUUAUCCCUAGUGGAGUGCAUUCUAUCACCUCGUUAGGUUUAAGGAGCCCAGGUGAUAGAGAAUAGUGGGGAAAAUAUAUAUUAGUACAAAGUACUUCAAAUCACAGAAAAACUGCCACUGAUAAUGGACCGAUUCCACUGUAAAAUCUAAGAGUUAUUGCAUGAUUAAUAUGUUACCAUUCAAUCAAAUAAUUGUUGGGAAAGAACCAAAUGACAGACUGAGUCCGGAUUGUCCCCACGCAGCACACUGGAGCUGCCAAACUACGGCAACAUUUGGGUGCAGGAAUAACUCUGCACAGCCCAUCAGCUCACUGACAAAGCAAAGCCAACCGAUCUCUCAGUGUUUUUACACUUUUUACACUAUUUCUGCAGUUGUUUUUCUCUUGAUUUCUGCUUGCACUGCCUGUCUGAUUAUGCUCUGCUUCUGUGUGUGUGUGAGAGAGCGUGUGUGUUUUGUACGUAUCACCAGAUUUGAGCUUGCCCUCUGAGGAUAUCAGUGCCCUAAUUAGCACAUUGGUAUUAUGCAAAAGGUAGCAGCACUUCUGCUUCCCUUUAGACACAGAGGGCUUGCUUAUCCUACACCGCCUUGUCUCAGAACAAGAAAAGUUUGUUUCUGGUGUACUGGGUUGGUGUCCCCUCCCUGUGAAUGGGACACCAAUUCCUCCUGGGAAUCCCUCCUGAGUUUGAAUCAAGUGGCAGCCUGUUUUGUGUAACCAUUCAACUCUGCGUCAUCAUCUGCAUGCUGCUGGAGUCCAGGGCUAGAGGUAACACAGGAACACAGACUCCAGUGCACAAGGAUUUUCCAGACGUACUGUUUGCCAUCGUGUUGCACAAGGGCAAGCGGCAGCUGUGCUGAGCACCAGAUAUUAAAGCCUGGUUAAAGCUUGUUAGGGCUGUACAGCAAAGCACUCAGAAAUCAAGAAAUGUCAAAGCUAAGGCUCAUUUAUAAAUUCAUCCCCCUUUAAAGUACGAAUAACAGCGUAGGCAGCUUUUAAUUACAUAGCCAAGUUCUGUUUUUCCUGGAUUUACGCACGAGUAAGAUAGUAUGUCGGUGUGCACGUAUAUAGAGCUGCAUCGUCUGGGAGAGCAUAUAUGAAAGCCCUUUCUCUUACCCAUAAAUAGAGAUGAUUCCAAACCAAAGCCCUAGCUUCAAGCUAGCUGCAGACCUUGGGGAGUUCAAAAUCAGAAUCUGGAUUUGGAUCUGAAUUUAGCAGCUUAGGCCCAUCUGCAAUAAAUACAUACAGGAUGAAAUGUAGAUAACUGAGAUAUAAGGCUAUAUAGACUUCAAAGUGGCUCUGAUAAAAUCACGAUAACCACAAGAAAGAAGUGGUGUGUGAUCUCAGAAGAGAUAUCCCCAAGAUGUCUAUACAGCUUAAUUUUCCCACAUUGUGUCCUUUUAUCUUCAAUGGAUAAAAGGUGAAUUAUUAUUAUUAUAGGCAGUGGAGCAGUAACGCCUGUUAUUCAGGUUGUCUAACACUUUCCAUUGUUCCCCCUCUAGUCACUCGCUUACAACUUUUGCAGACUUUAACCUUUAGAGACGAAGUUUCCCAUACCCUGUGCUUGCCUCAGGUUGAAUUUGAUCAAGAAGAGGUAUUCCACCUUCAAGACUGUAGCAAUAGUGCCGGCAAUAAAUCAUGUCAACAUUUGCUUCUGCAUUUGUAAACUGUCAUUGUAAGGUAGCUGGAGAGAGGACAGGAGGGCGAGCAAACAGACAGCUCUAAAAGCCUGUGCUGUCAUCCUUACCUUAUCUACAGAGCGAUCAUGUUAAAUCUCAAAUGACAGAGAGUCAGACAGCAGGUGGGCGGGCGAUGGAGAAGAAAAUGGCAUUUCUCACGUGAUGGUACCUGUGCUCUCCUUCUCACUGGAGCAGCCUGAAUACAGCAAUCCACCUGCCUUAAUGUCUGCAGGACUCAGUUUUCACAUGGCAAUGGAAAAAAAAAAAGAAAAGGGGCCAAAGUAUGUGAAAUCUGCUCACCCUGAGAGCUGUCCCACAUUCCCCACCCAAUCAGCAGAUAGGAGCUCUGCUCGGCGAACCUGCCAUGGUAGCUGAUAAUUAUUGUUGUAUUAAUUGGUGCUGUCCAGACUAGACAGAAUGUAAAAGAUCCCACUGUGUCCAAUAAUUAAUGUUUUUCCCUCACUGCAAUGUCAUUAAUAAGGGGUUCCUCCAAGAAACGAGUAAUUGGAUGGUUCAGCUUCAUUAGGGUAUUUUUAGAUAAGGUUUGGUCUAGAGACGUAAAGGAAAGCUUAUUAUGUUUAUUUAGACUGUAUUAUCUGCUGCUAAUGUGUUAUACUGAUUUUGUAUCUUCCGCAUUCUCUGGGAUUGUAGUGAUAAAAAGGAAUGCGCAAAUCACAAUUUAAAUGAACAGAAAUAAAAUUCAGUAUAAUACAGUGAUGAAAAAAUGCCAUCUCAAAAUAAAUAUCAUCAGUAUCCUAUAAAUCUCCCCUUUUCUCGGAGGCGCAACGCUAUUGUCACAGGAAGACAAAAGUCAGAUUUUACUAAUUAGAGAUGAGUGUAGCGCAGCGCUCUUGUUUUGGCAAUUAUCUGAGCAGCUUUGGAAAAUGGAAUGUGUAAAUCUAGUUUUGGAAAUAACUUUGAAAAGAAGACUAAGGGGCUUUUUCAGGGGUAUCACUUACACAGUCAUGUAUGACUUUAUUAUUCUGCAAAGAUGCCUUGGGAAUCUGACUCACAUGAAAACUUGAUAUGCAAGAGAGCUAUAGACCAGGAUGUGGCGGAUUUACACAGGAAACAUAUAUGGCUAGUCAAAACAGCUCUGUUUUACCACAAAGGAGCUUUGCACAUGCUUUGCGAGGAUUUUAUGUGGGAGUUUAUUCUUGAACACAGCAUAUAGCCAGUUUUUCACAACCCAAACUUACUCUAGUUAAAUUUUUAAGGCAACUUAGCCAAACUGGUCCCAUUCACAGCUGCAUCCUCUUAAUCUCAUCACAAGACAGAGAUCUCCCACUAGGAAAUGAUAAUCCACAGUUUAGUGUCUGUAUUAUACUUACUGCAAACACAAGAGACUACAUUCAUCCCAAGUAAUUCUCUAAAUGUGAGAGAUCUUGUUACAACAGGAAUGCACUUGGCCCACUGGGUGUCAGACAGUGACAUAGGCUCAUCACACCGUGCUAAAUAAAAGUGAAGGAAAACAUCACUGGGGAUGGUAGUCCAAGAGCUGGGUGAUGUCAGUUGAUCCUCAUUAAGUUAUUGUGUCAGUCAGUGUUUUCAGUAGGUUCUUGCUGGAGAAGGGACACUCAGCCAAAACCUGAUGUCGAAUAGUUAUAAAUCUAGAGACAAGAGUUUGCCUCCUCCCUCCACCUCUCCCAACUGUUUCUCCGCCAUGAAUCCUGCACUCUGACAGCUCUGUAUGAACUGUUCGCAUCAGUACUAAUUUAAAACCAAGAAUUCCUACAAACAAUAUUCAGGGCACGUCCAGACAAACAUCCAGAACUGCCACGCUAAGUUCAUCUCACGUAACAGUUAAUACAGCUCCCGCAAAGUCACCACAUCAUAAUAUCCUUUUGUAAUAGGUUGUGAUUUUAAGUAACAUAUCUCAUUAAUAUAAAUGAUCCAAAAUAGACACACAGAAUUUUGCUGCCUGUUCAUUUCCCAUCCCAAUGCCUCUGGACCCCUAUCUACUCUAGGUUAGCGCGGAGUAAAUCACACAUAAUUCUGCUGAAGUCGGGGGUGUUACACUGGCAUAAGUCAGAGUACAAUAAAGUCCUCAGUGUCCCGGGUUCCUCAGUAAGAUUCACAAAAGUAAAUUCCAUUAGUAUGUGUAGAAAUAUGUCUUUCUCAUAAUGAUAUGACUAAAAACUUUUGUACUUCAGAGCAGAAGUACAGAGACCCCUUGAAAGCCAGAUAUUGAUAGCUUGCUUUAUGUUUAAAGAUGUCAACAGAAUACAAUGGUUCUCAGCAUCCACAUUAGUUAUCUUUAGUAAGAGAGAAGAAGAUUUAAAGUAAGGGAAUGAGGUUUGCAAUGUAACAAGAUAAAGUCAUCUCCUGCAGCCUAGAGGAUUUCUUUAAUCUUAUUUUUAGAGAAGAGCUGAGAAGCUUUUGCAAAACCGGCUUGUUUGGAUUCAGUUUCUAUUUUAUCUCAUCCACAAAAGUUUGGAGCUGAAGGGGGAAACAGAUAAAAGUUUUGAGCAAACUGGGAUGGUUUUACAUUGGUCUCAUCAACCUUCCUAAUCUAGGUUUGAUUUUGCAAAACCUGUCUGAAUCCAGAUCUCUUCUUAUCCAGCCUACAAAACACACACACACACAAACAAAAUCUUAGGAAAGUUUCAAAUCAAGAAAUAUUUUUUUAAAAGUCACAUUUUCUCCUAGCUUGAAUUUAGAUAACUGUUAACUAACUUUUUUUCCACUGACAGAACUCUAUACCUACAACAAGAAUUUGAUUUUCAUAAGUAGAUGUAUUUCCUCUGGAUGAUUUAAAAUUGACAUUUUUCCUGAAAUCAAUUUUGCCUGAGGAAUAUUUCAGCGCUAGACAGGGCUUUCUUUUCUUUUACAGGAUUUUUUUAAAUUAUUGAAAUAGUAUCCAAUCUGAAUAUUUGAAUGCACGCAAGAGAGAACAUUUUCAAGAUUCGGGAGCACAGCUGCAUCUUUCUUUUCAGGUUCAUGACCUGGAUAGGCACAUUAAGUCCAUAGAAAUGACAUAAAACACAAUCAGGAUACAUUCUUUCGAAUCUGUGUUUUCCUCUCAGGAUUUAUUACUGAAGACCUUUACUACAAACAUCUUUAUGCAUUCAGGAGUAAGUUAUCUGCUUCAAAAUAUGUGAUAGUCCUAUAAGUAGAAUAAAAAUGAUAUCUUCAGAUAUUUCUUUUUUUCAAAUCUGCCAAUUCUUUGUUGCCACUGUUGCGUUUUCCUGUGGUCUGCCUGCUUGAAGCUAGGGUAAGGAACAGGAUUCCAAGCUCCUAGAGCAGUCAGAGGACCCCCAACCCUCUACGUUUCUCACCAACCACCUCAGCAGUCACACAAAACACAGUUCAUAUAUUUUGUUAAAAUCAUUCGCUGUAGUCUAUGGGCUGGACCAGAGUUUAGAUUAAAAGAAAAUCUAAUUUUCCUUGUGUGCCCCCUCCUCCUCUUCAUGUUAAAAAUAGGUAAAGCAACACUCGUAUUUCUUGGAUUAUUUUGCAGCAUUUGAUUCAUCCAACAUUGCCAAAUAUUUUUGUCCUCUUUCCAAAGUGCUUCUGGGGAUAAACAUUAAAGUUCUGAAGGACCUCAGGCCUUUUCCUAAAGACUGAGCAUUCCUAGCAUUUGUCCCUACAUCUCUUAAGUUCCUGCAGGCAAAUAUUUACAAGCUCUGCCCUUUGCCUGAUAUUGCUUAACAUGGAGGGUGCUGGAAGAACAAGAAAGACAAAGUGGUUAGAAAUGUCAGGAGUGAGAUUAUACAAAUUUGUACAUCUCCUUGCUAACAAACACAGAAUCUUACACAUUUGUCGAUGCCUAGCUGCAGUGAACGUGUGGGUUUGCAUCUGCUGGAACCCAAGGUGAGAUGAGGAUGUGCUUGGUAACGCUUGUUCCUUUUGCAGUCAAGGGACCUGGUAUUUCAACUGCAAAGUCAUUCUUGGCCUACUUUCAGUGUAGUUGCAUAGAUGCACAUUUGUAUCUUGUAUGGCUUGCAGAUCCAAACAUAGCCAUGAUGACCAAAAUCAACUGUCCCUGUCUGCCCCAGGCCCAAAGGGCGUGAUCCACACUGCUAGGGCUGGACAUAGCCAUGGUGAUUCAGAAGCUGAUGAGCUCUAGCUAAGUUUACUAUAAUUUGUAAAGAUGAAUAAAGCCACAGAUGUGAUUAAGCUUAACAGGACAGGCCAGCUUUCAACACCAGAUGCACACAGCAAUCUAAUUUAAGGUUCUGUCUUGCUGUUCAGAAUUGCCUUUUGUUCCUCAGGAAGCCAGUAGAUACCAUGAUAACCGACCUAGCAGAAAGUAGCAGUGGAGAAAAAUCUAAAAGCCAAUAAAACAAUUAAGAGGAUUCUCACACAAAGGAUUACCUGUGUAAACAGAUCCUUCUUUUCUCUUUGCUAUGUCAAGCUGCUGCGUUACCAUGAGAAAAAGGAAUUUGGUUAUCAAUGGAAUAUGUGAUUGCAUUUAGUUGAUGUUGUUGUUGCAGCUUAAACUGAAACUGGGUGAGACAAUCCUUCCAUGGCUAUCAUGCAACCAGACUGACUACUUUGAAAAUUCACUCAAAACAAAAUCCUUGGUGCCUUGGGCAAUCUGGACAGCAACACCACCGGUUAGGAGAAAAAAAAAAAGAAAUUUCGGAGGGAACAUCUCCUUGUGCUCACUGCCAGCCCUUGAAUUACUGGGAAGGCAUUCCUAGAAAAAGGGCCUCCAGUCAAGGCAGUGAAUGACAGCACUGCCUCCAGAAAAAUCAAUUCUGUGUGGUGAAAGCCCAGAGCCUCUGUUCUGGAGGCCUUCCUUCUUUGAAGCCGAAAAAUCAAAUGAAGCUUCAAAACUUCAUCUCAGCUCUAAAUUGUCAUAAAUCUUAUUUAUGCUAUGAAAGGAAACAAAAUGUACUGAAUGGGUAAUCAGUGUGCUGAUGUGCCCUGAAAAUCCUGCCUCUCUGAGUACAAGGAAAAUCCCUUCCCUAUCUCCAGAAGGGUUUUGGUUUCUUGCUUUUUUUCAUUGCUCAAGGUGCCCCCAGUUCUGCAAAAAAGAGUAUCACAUGCUGCCACUUGUGGAAUCAUUUUCAUGAAAACAUGAAUUGAUUGGAAAAUGAGCCCACUUUAUUUCAAGGGGACAGGCAACACCAGCAGGAAAAAGAAAAGAGGGAUAAAAAACACACAUUACAAAUACAAUAAAUGAUACACACGCAACACACACAAAAAGGAAAUUGGAGAAUCUGACUCUCCUUGAAAUGUAAACUGUGUACAGAUUUACUCUGAGAAAUGAACAGAUGUUUUUGAGAUUAGUGGAAACUACUGUACAAAACCUCUGCUGGGUGCCUAAUAUUUUAGAUUCCAUAGCCCAAGAUUUCUUAUAGCCAACAUUUCAGAGCUCUCCCCUUUCUAGCGGACCACGAAGCUGUCCAAAAGAUGUGUAAUUUCUGCUCCUCUCCAGUUCCUGAUUUUAUAAUUAGCUCUCAGCAUUACCAGAGAUCACCCAUUAGCGCAAGACCCAGCAAUGUGUCGCAUCCUCCUGCAAUGCUGCAUAAUGUUAUUGUUGGCAGCCCUGGAAGAUGGACAAUCAAUGAGAUGAAUAGUGCACGUCUUUCCUUCGCAAACUACGCACAGUUGAUGUCUUCAUGAAAUAUCAAACAUGGUUGCAGCUAAUGCAUGGAGGUAGACUGAUUUUUUAUGUUACCCACAGUGGAUAAAUAAACUGUAGAAGGGUACAUGCCAUAUUGUACCUUGUCUCCUUCCUUGUGAACAGCAGCAGGCUGGAAGCCACAGCCUUCAACACUUUACUAUUAAAGAGGGCUUAUUGUACAUUUUACCCAUUUCAUGUAAGUCCAAUGCCUGAGAGAGGCUCUUCAGGAUAGAUUUUACAUCUGCUGCUCAAUUCUCAAGUGCCCACUCAGGAGUAUGGAAGUACUUGGGGAAUUUUGAGUUUUAAAGGAGAUAUUUUCAAAUAGAGGGUUAUUAUAGUACCUUUUAACUACGAUCUCCAUGUGAAAAGGUUUCAAUUAGUAAAAUAUAUGUUAGAUUGGUGUGCCAAGGGACUUGGGAGAUAGCUUGUUGGGAUGCCUGCACCUUUGCAUUUAUUCAGUACCCUAUGAUACAGCAUAAGUAAUGCUUCUAUAUUAUUAUUAUAUAAUACUUCUAUAUUCCUAUUUCUAGCCUCAUGGGUUCAACCAGACUGCAUACAUUAGGGAAAUACUAUGUUUUGGCAUACUGGGAGAGGUAAGAUGUGUUGUCUUGUGCCAUGAUGUGAAACUCUUAUUUCAAAUCUAUGAAAAGCAGUAGAAGGCAAUGGUCCUAUCUUCACCACAGUUCUGCCUUCAUGGAACUGCAAAAUUUAGUUAAUCUUUUACAGUUUCCACACUUAGCAUCUUUCCAAGCAAUAUAGAACACAUGUUCAUCCAGUGGUGUAUAUAUAUACAGAAAUAUAGAUAUAUACAUGUACACAUUUGUACAAAAGAAGAUUCAUUGGGUUUUUUGGUCAAUUGGCUCACACCUAAAAUAACUUUUUAAGUUAAAUGAAACAAGUCAAUUUGGGACACAUCAAAUGCAAUUUAGAAACUUUCAUACAUCUCAGAUGUGUAGUUUUGACUCCAAAGAACAUCAGUCAAGCUUGGGAACUGCGUUUGCAGUAUUACUGUUAUUAUUAUUGUAUUAUUGUUUGUAGUGUUACUGUUAUGCAAUAACACUGGCUGUUGUGGUGGCUAAUGAGGAGAUAAGCCAUGAAAUACAGUGCUCCAUGGAGUUCUGCAAGAAUUAAGCUGUGAAUCUGUGAUGAGUCCAAAACAGACAAAAGAGAUGCUUCUCCAUGUCUAUGGUGGAGGGACUCUUUACUUAUUCAGGUUUUCUUUUCACAGUAGCUGAUUUUUGAGAAGUAACUGAGUUUUACCAUACAGCUGAGUGCAACUGCUAAUUCUGUCUUCUCUGCAUUUGGCAAGUGAACUCCAUCAUUAAAAAUUACAGUUUCAAUGAUAGUAGAAAUAUGUAUAGAUUUAUGUAGCUAAAUAAUUCCUCUUCCCUUUAUUUUGCACUGUAUGUGGGUCUCUCUGAAAGUAGUGCCUCCUAUUUAUUAUCAUGGUAACUGCAACAGAUACAAAUAACACAGUAACACAGUUUGAUCUGAGCUACAAAACACUAUUUUUCAACACAGUCAGCAUCAUUAGCUAUGCAUGUUCACCAGCACUGAACAAGAGCCUGCAUGCCAUGCUCAUAAAAAUCUGCACCAGUGGAGAUGGCUCAGUGUCACCGUUGCCACUGCUGAAACACACCAUCCACCCUUCUGUAAGCAUCAACGAAUGUCAGUGGCUGCCAUUUUCUCUGCAUGGAGGAAUUCACUGACAAACCUUUGCUUCAUACACACUUCCAUGUCAGAUUUCAUUUUUGUUAGACUGCCCCUCUGCUACCAUCUGUCACACAGCAACAACACAGAAUAGGAUAUUGGUGGGAAGGUUCAAGCUCUACUGCCAUAUCACAUCUGCUUCUGACGUUGUGAGCCAACAAAACCAAAUAGGAGGCAUUAAUUUCAGAGCAACCCUCAUAAAAUAAGGGGCAUUAUGUCCAGAGUAGUCCUUUUAGAUGGUCUUUUAAUAAAAUCUAGCGGGCAAAAAAAAUUGGCACUAGAACCUUCACUUUGAUUCACAAAUGAAUCCAAGGCAAAGGUAGUGCCAGCACCAUUUCUUGCCUCACAAUUUGACCUAAUUCUUCAUGCUGUGCCUGGUUUAUACAAGCACGGGCAAAAUGGCUGAUGCCCAAAAGGCUAAUAAAGAUCACCCUGUUCCCAGCAUGCUCUCUACUGUUAGAAACCAGCAAUUAACUUAAUAGGGUUCCUGAAAUGCGGUAGUUUCAGGAGAUGUGGCAUGCAUUGACAUUCUCUGGCUGGUCUAAACAACCUCCCAUCCCUCAGAAGCAGGAUAUGUUUGCUAUUUGAAUUAUUUAGGAGCAUGUUAUGUGAAUGAUAAAGCUGCACUUUGCAGCAUUAAGUCUAAUAUUUUAUGAUCUUCAAUUGAUUAGGUAGGCUUUUGGGAUUAGCUAUAAAGGUUGUGAUAAAACAUCCCAGAUUCUGGCAAUUUGUGUUCACAGUUGGAGUUUCAAGUUCUAUGCAGAAAAAGUUGUGGAAAAGAAGUCGUUUUAUCUUAUGUUUUCUAUCAAAAAGACUAUUUUACUCGCAACUCACCAAAGAUGUUUUGAGAUGUCCAAAGAAAAUAAAGGAAUUGAUUUGCUCAGCCAGCUAGAGCAGUACCAAUAUUUUUAUGGGAUUUAGUGGACAUUCACACAAAGGUUUAUGUGAGGAAGGAUACUUGUGCAGCAAGGUAUGAGGAAAUAGCAAAACAGAUUGAUUUGGACAAAAGGAAACCAUCAGGGGUUGAGACAGAUUUAAACAAAGGUGGCAGAAGAGAAAUAAGAUGACAUGGAAGAAAGCAUAAAAGCAAGAAUGAAAGAAACAGAGGUAGAAGAGACAGAGGAGCAACACUAAGACAUGGUGAAGAGGGGAUUAAAAAAAAAAAAUCAAGAUUUUCAAAGGAAUAGAGGAUAAGCCAUCAGGCCUCACAAAACUAACUUCUGCUCCUGCUGAUUUCUUCUUUCUCAUUGCUUCUCCAGUUUCCAUGCUACUGGCUUCUGCUUCUGACAAUAGAGAUUUGUACAUCGAUGCUGUGCUCGCCAGCUGGUCCGUGGGAUUUGCGUUACGCUAUUUGUUUGGAUGUAUGUGUUCCUGUAAAGAGAUGAUGUCGCGUUUUUCAGCCGGCACAGGAGAUCAGAACCUUCAUAACCCCUUCUCCGCCAGCCUUGAAGUCGGUACAAAUCUAUCUGUACAUUUGGGGGAAAAUAAUUUAAAUGCUGCGAGUUACGGGUUUGCAGGCUGCUGAAAGCUCAACAGCCAUUCAGGCUUCAAAGACAAAAGGGAGAUUUCCCUCUUUAAUCUUCGCCGAUGUUCCCUCACUCAACCCAUCUUGGCUGGAAGCUCUCUGGAGCAGCGCACACAGCGCUCGCCAAUGCGCGGAGUCGUGCGCUCCUGGUGCUAAUAAAGCCAUCGCUCCGGCACGGCAGGUCGGGUGAUUACUGCCUCUGGUAAAUGCUUGUGAGACAAUAAGCAGACAUAGGGAGAAAUGAACUGAUCGAGGUGAGCAAGAGGAUGGGGUGGAUGAGAAACGCGGGGUGGGAGAGCCUCGGCGAUACGUUCACCCAGGGGAACCUCACCCUGCUGGUGGAUUCCCGACCCACGCUCUUAUCUCUCUGCAGAGCCCGCAGUGAAAAGCCAAUGCUGUUCGGGAAGCUUUUUCCUUACAGAUGAGAUAUAAAACCAAUGCCUGCCUAACCACUUAUGUACAUUAAUGAUCCCCCGGUGCUCUCCAAAAGAGGAAAAAUAUUAACCCAGACAUCAUAAUAAUAUGCUGCUUGCUUAUAAGCCCUGUACAAUUUAAAUUCAAUCUGGUGUGAUGUUAUUUCUGACUUCCUGACCCAAAUUGGUGUGCGUGCAGCUCUGAGCUGUUAAGCAGAUGAUUGUUCCAUCCCAGCAGCAGAUCCAUCUCUCCGAUGCCUUGGAAGGAUUUCUCGGCCUGCGUUGCAGAGAGCCUCUGUUGAAAAAUGUGCCGCAUGUCAAACCGUUGGCUGAGCACAGCACAUCAUCCAUGGGGCCAUUUUUACUGUACACACACAUCCUUCGUUUCCUACGAACACACCACUGCCAGAGACUGCAGAUGGAGAAAGGCUCUCAAAUCCCUCUGUUGGUAAAAAGGCGAAAAUGCUCCAGACGGAUUUUCCUCUCCUUUUCCACCUACCCACAGCUCCUUCAGACAGCGUCCUCCCUAUGCAGCAAAUGCAGUCCUGUGAAGGUCAGGGUUGGUGAUAGGCCCGUGUUUUGCUGCUGUGUGCUCAGGUGCAGAAGGUAUGGGAACCCUCCUGGUCCCACCCUGUCUGGGUUUCCCUGGGAGAGCCCUGGUGCCAGGACCUGCACCCCGGAGCUGCUCACACCCUACCUGCUCCGCAAAUGAGCAGAGCCAAAGCAGAUGGCUUUGUGGAGCAUAAAACAAAACAGAGAGAUCUGUGGUGGCUGCAGAAAUACUGCCCUGGCUCUCCCCUGCGUGAUCAGGGGAUGGCAGGGCUCUCCUGCUCUGGGCAGCUGGGUGAGCCCCUAGAAGCUGGAGCUGCUGGAAGAGCUGGCUGCUGACCGACCUCCUGCAUGCCCAAUCCCAGCUCUGCGCUUGCAUUUGUGUUGCAGCAGUGUUUUCCUGGGAGCCAAACAAAACAGUUGUUCAUGAGCCACUCAGAGUAUGUGCUGGGGCAUGAAGGAGGUGUCAGUUUGUCCUCAUUAGUAAUUGCAACAGACUCACUUUGGUGUAGUGUCCUGCUAAAAGGAAUGGUAUGAUGGAUCUUGUCAUCAUUCCUCUGGAAAGUAAAGUAGUCCUCCCCAGUCCGUGGUCCCAAGCAGAGUUUGCUUGCUGAUACAUGAUCAUGGGCAAUGAAAUGAGCUCCAAUCUCCAUUUACGAGCUUUUACAAUCAAUGGUAUGGUUAAAGAUUGCUUGAUAACUAUGCUGGGAAACUUCUGUUUCUUACUCCCCUGUUUUCAGUUGCAGAUAUUUUAUAAUUCAAUGCUGGACUUGUACAUAAUACUUCAGUACCAUUCAUGCAGGUGGCUCCAAUAAAUUUAGAAACUUUUUUUGUGGUAUUUGCAGCUGACUAAUUUUUCCGUGUUGUUUUUCCUUCUCCUUUAUUAUAAAAGUGUAACUCAGUAUCAUUCAUGACAACUAGAAAUGAAGCCAGGCAAAGAUCAGACUUUGGAC